GAAUACGUUCCCGGGCCUUGUACACACCGCCCGUCACACCAUGGGAGUGGGUUGCAAAAGAAGUAGGUAGCUUAACCUUCGGGAGGGCGCUUACCACUUUGUGAUUCAUGACUGGGGUGAAGUCGUAACAAGGUAACCGUAGGGGAACCUGCGGUUGGAUCACCUCCUUACCUAAAGA
rnacentral:rRNA from 2 species